rnacentral:lncRNA from 1 species
GGGUUCAUCUUCAUGAGGUGUAAUGGCGCCGGGAUGCGCUCUCCUCUUCUCAUUUGCCAAUUUAUUGCAGAUCCCUCCUCAAAAAAGUUUUGGGACUAACUCAGCCCCAUGGAGAUCAAGGUGAAUUAGAAAAACAACAAAACAAAACAAGAUUCAUUUUAACAUCUCAUUUUUCUAUCUCCAACUUUCCCUCCCCUCCUCCCACCCCAGGAAGAAAAGACUACGUUUGUUUCUGGUGAUACAUUCAUUGUAGGUGGGUGGGUGACUUCUAGAAGAGGAAAAUCAAGAAGAUUUGGAGAAGGAGUCUUGGAAGCUCUGGUGAAGUUUUCCAAAACUGGGAAGGACAGAGCCACAGGUCUGCCUGUUCUUUUGCUUUGCCAUUUGUGUGGAUACCUAGUAGAGCAAUUUGGGUGCCAUUCUUUGAGGAAUCCAUUGGAUCUGUCAGAAAGCUGAGUCUGCUCAGCCUGUGUUAGUGGAGAAGAGGGAAGGAAACUGGCUGGAGGCCGCUGGACCCACAGAGGACAAUAGACAAUCUCCUGCUAGAAAUGACAAACCAGUAUCUUGAGUAAAAUAAUGACUUGGACUGUAAGAAAUUAAUUAGAAAACAUCUGUGCAAUGUAGUGGAAGAAAAAGAAAAUGAGACCCAGAAGACCCAAAUCACAAAUCAAAAGGACCUCACAGAAGAUUCUACAAUUGAGAUUAUUUAUCCUGGGAUGCCCACUGGAUCCAAAGAGAGAAACUCUAUAGAAUUAUGAUCUAGGUUUGACUGACUCCUGGCAAGAAGCCCUACCCGCCAGCCAAUUUGGAUGAGGAACACAGAAUCACUUGUGGAAUUAAGAGAUAAGGACAGCAAGUAGACCAAACUAUAAGCUGAGGUUCAAGGUGGCAUAGGCUGGGUGCCACAGUGCUGUGUCUCAGGUCACAGGGGUCAUCCAUCUUUCCUUCUAUGUGACUGGUUUGCUCUUGCAUAUCAUGUUUUCCGCUCUUAUGCUCCAGAUCCAUCAUGAGAAGAACAUGCCCUGGAUUCCUGCUAUCCCUUUAGCCAUGGCUCCAAAAUUAACACACACAAGGAAGACCUGAGGUCAAUCCACAGCCUGGAUUCAAGUCACCUAAUACAUAGGAGAAUCAGAGCUACCCAGCCACACUCAAUCUACGUUAACUGAACCUCAGCUGACCUGCAGAUUUAUGAGUAUGAGAAUAAAGGCUUGUUAAUGUA